GAUGAACGCUGGCGGCGUGCCUAAUACAUGCAAGUCGAACGAUCAGACCCGGAGCUUGCUCCUCAGACGUUACCGGCGGACGGGUGAGUCACACGUUGAUAACCUACCUAUAAGACUUGGAUAACUUCGAGUAGCCGGAGCUACUACCAGAUAAUAUAUUCAACCGCAUGGUUCUAUAAUGAUAUACGGUUUUGCUGUCAAUUAUCGAUGGAUCCGCGUCGCAUUAGAUAGUUGGUAAGGUAACGGCUUACCAAGGCAACGAUGCGUAGCCGACCGGAGAGGGUGAUAGGCCACACGGGAAGGGAGACAGGGACAAGGGGACUGAGGGAGGGAGCAGAAGGGAAUCGGAGGCAACGGGCGAAAGCCUGACGGAGCAAGGGCGAGUGAGUGAUAAAGAUGUUCGGAUAGGAAAACUCGGUUAUUAGGGAAGAACAAAUGUGUAAAUAGAUAUGGAGGUCGUGACGGUACCUAAUCAGGAAGCCACGGCUAACUACGUG
rnacentral:rRNA from 1 species